rnacentral:lncRNA from 10 species
CUGGAGAAUACUUACUAAUUUCAAGCACAAUAAAAAUUGGCUAUAUGCUGAAACGUAAAGGAAGUCUCACCAGAUUUCAUGAUGCAAAUUAUAUAGUGUUUGAUUUCUAAACACAUUUAAUAAAGUUGAAAAUCAGUAACAACAAAUGGUCCUGGAGUAACUAGGCAUCUAUAUGCAAAAAGUGAACUUCAACCUGUACGUUGUACAUAAGAAUGAACUCAAAAUAGAUUUUAGAUCUAAAUGAAAAAGCUAACAUUAUAAAAAAAUUAGAAAAAAAAACAGAGGAGAAAAGUCUUCAUGUCUUCAUGGCCUUUGGAGAAGAAAAGAUUUCUUACACAGAUCACAAAAAGGCACUAAUCAUAAAAAUUAGUCAUAAUAAUUGGACUUCAUUGAAUUUAAAACUUUGCUUUUCGAAAGACACUGUUAAGAAUCAAAGAAGCAAGCCACAGACUCAGAUGAAAUAUUUGCAAUACUCAUAUAUGACAAAUGAUUUGUGUCCAGAAUGUAUAAGUAACUCUUGCAGCUGAAUGGUAAGAGGAUAACAAAAACUCAAUAAAAAAUGAGCAAAAGAUUUGAAUGCAUACUUCACAAAAGAUAUCUUAAUGGCCAAGAAGCACAUGGAAUGAUGCCGAACAUUAUUAGUCAUAAGAUAAAUACAAAUUACAACCACUAAGAUGGUCAAAAUGUAAAAGGUUAGCAGUAGCCUGUGUUAGUGAAGAUGCAGAAAAACUAUAACCAGGCUGAGAGUGCUGGCUCACACCUGUAAUCCCAGCACUUUGGGAGGCUGAGGUGUAUGGAUCACCUGAGGUCAGCAGUUGGAGACCAGCCUGACCAACAUGGUGAAACCCUGUCUCUACUAAGUACAAAAAACUGGCCCAGCAUGGUGGCACAUGCCUGUAAUCCCAGGUACUUGAGGCUGUGGCAGUGCUCAUCACACAGUUUCCCACACGGGGCACCAACUGUGGCAGUGCACCUCUUAUGGGGGCGCCAGCUGCGGGGAGGGGUCUGUCCGUUGCAGACCCCUGACCCGGUGACGGAUGAAUAACGUACACUGACACACAGAUAUUCUGCUUUGCCUGUCCAGCUGAGUGUGUCUCAGCCGCUUACAGACUCCCUGCUGAGUCCUGUAAACAGUCGUGACUUGGCCCUGAUCAGCUAGCGAGACUCACAUUUAUUUGGUAAGAUUAAUUAAUAAAGGCUUGAGCUAACACCAUUAAAGGGUAAUUGACAUUGUGGACUUCCUGAGUAAAAAGCACUUAAGUACCUGUGGUACAAUAAAGGUUAGUCUUAAGAUCAUAUGAGUAAACAAGCUAGCUAGGUAAACUACUCUGCCUUCCUUUGUUACUACUUUAAUUUUGUUUAACUAAAGAUAAAGGGACCAGGCCACCUUCAGCCAGAUCUAUUAUAGAAGUUAUGCAAACUUCUCGGCCUUCCAAGAAGAUUUGUGUCUAUCUCUACACUAUCUCUAAUAUUUUUCCCACCAGCCUGAUUGAACCCCAACCAGAGGCUGAGGCAGGAGAAUCACUUGAACCCAAGAGGCAGAGGUUGCAGUGAGCCGAGAUUGCACCAUUGCACUCCAGCCUGGGCAACAAGAGCAAA